AGCAUCAAACUGGUGUUUCCGGUCAAUAACUUUUGUUUCGGUAAAGAUAUUUGAAUAAAACUUGGUAUGUAUGUAGCUUAUAUCAAGACAAAGGCUGGGAUUGAUUUUGGGGUUUCUGGGGUCAAGGUCACUGUUACUUAAAAUAGAAAAAGGGUUUCUGGUCAAUAACUUAACUUAGGAAUGAGCUAUCAUGAUGAAACUUGGUGUAUAGAAAACUUAUAUAAAGUUGUAGCUUGGGAUUGAUUUUGGGGUUUCUGGGAUCAAGGUCAAGGUCACUGUUACUUAAAAUAGGGUUAGGGUUAGGGUUGUGCUUUAAAGUGGUGCACUGUGAUUCAGUAUACUUUUUUAUUCUUAUGAAAUGUGUU